rnacentral:sRNA from 1 species
GAUCCUUUACUAGCCCAAAAGUAUGGUUCUUUUACAGGAUCUUUCCCCUUUCGUCGAAGUUCCCUAUGAACAGGUUCACAUUGAAUUCCUGUAUGAACAAAAGACAGUGUAGAGACUAUUAUUACAGGUUUUAUAGUAAAUACUUUAAAAACGAUUGUAAAUCAUGUUUAACACUUUUAAAAGCUUUUAAAAUCCCUUAUAAAUCAUUCAAUGCCACUUACUUAUGCUUUAAAAACGAUUGUAAACCAUGCAGACACUUUUAAAAUCCCUUGUAAAUCAUUAUAUGACACUUACUUAUGCUUUAAAAACGAUUGUAAAUCAUGUUUAACCUUUCUAAAAGCUUUUAAAAUCUCUUGUAAGUCAUUCUAUUCAACUUACUUAUGCUUAAAAAACGAUUGUAAAUCAUGUUUAACCCUUAGAAAAGGUUUUAAAAUCCCUUGUAAAUAUUCUAUGCCACUUACUUAUGUUUUAAAAUCGAUUGUAAACUAUGCAAACACUUCUAAAAUCCCUUGUAAAUCGUUUUAAGACACUUACUUAUGCUUUUAAAAUCCCUUGUAAACGUGUUUAACACUUCUUUAAGCUUUUAAAAUCCCUUGUAAAUUAUUCUAUGCUAGUUACUUAUGCCUAAAAACGGUUGUAAACCAUGCAUACCCUUUUUAAAAUCCCUUGUAAAUCAUUAUCUGCCACUAACUUAUGCUUCUUAAACGAUUGUUAAUGAAGUAAACCCCUUUUAAAAGCUUUUAAAAUCCCUUGUAAAUUAUCUAUGACACUUACUUAUGUUUUAAAAACGAUUGUAAACUACGCAAACAGUUAUGCAAAUGCCUUGUAAAUCAUUCUACGACAGUUAAUUAAGCUUUAAAAACGAUUGUAAAACUUUAUUACCUGUUGUGAGAUAGAACUCUCUCAAGGAGAAACGGAUAGGUUGAGAAUCAACUCUAAACCAAAGAGUUGAUCCUUUUGUUUUCACUCUCUGCUGCAUGAGAUAGUGAAAGAUUUUUCCAGAAAAUCUGAUUCCCUUCUUAGCCUUCAUUUUUGGUCCCAAUUCAACUAGAAGACCAAGAAACGAACUUCUAAUCUUCUGAAAUAAACACUCGCCUAAAGCUUCCUCUACUUUACUAACUAAAUUCCAAUCCGAGUAUUGUUGAACGGUUCCCAGUGCAAUAGAUUCUUCACCUUCUAUGUAUAUCUGUUCAGGCAAUGUAAGGAUUUCACUCUCUGAAUCCAUCUGCAAAACAUGUUAUGAAACAUCGUCAGAUCUACUAUAAAAUCGACUAUAAAAUCGACUAUAAAAUCGAUUAUAAAAACGGUUACCGUCGGAUCUAUCGAUAUCUCUGGGGAUUGUUUGCGUCGUAGAGAAAUGAUCUGAAUCCUUCAGCGAAUCCUUCGGAGAGGAAAUUCGUCGGCGAUUUUGGGGUUUCUCAGAGAGAAAAUUCGUCGGCAAUUUUGAGUGAAAUCGGAGAGGAAAUUCGUUGGCGAUUUUGAGUGAAAUCGGAGAGGAAAUUCGUCGGCGAUUUUGAGUCAAAACGGAGAGGAAAUUCGCCGGCGAUUUUGAGUGAAAUCGGAGAGGAAAAUCGGAGAGGAAAACGAAGAAGUUUGUGAAACGAAUGUGAAACCUAAUCAUUCAGUAAGGGUAAGACAGUCAUUUGCCAUAUUAGAAGGGGUAGUUUUAAAAAUAGCCUUCAGGAAAAGGCAUUUUUACAAAAGGUUAUUAGAAUAAGGGAAAUUUUGCAAAUCUCCCUUCUUAUAUUGAAGGGAGAUUUGCAAAACCACCUUUUUUUUACUACCCUUUUGCAACAAUAUCCUUUCAUGUUGUCCAUUUUUAAAAAUACUCAUUCCCUUGAACAAAAUGACCAAAUUACCCUCAUCUAAUAGAAAAAAGGAGUUGAAAACUGAACUUUUCCCGCCAAUUUUUUGGCGCCAAAAGUUUUAUUUCCCGCCAAAAAAAAAGUUUCCGCCAAACUUUUUUCCCGCCAAAAAAAAAAAUAUUCUCGCCAAAAAAAAAUUUCCCGCCAAUUUUUUUUUUUCGUAACAAAUUUUUCUCAACCAAAAAAAUGAUUUUAAAAAUCCUUGUAAAUAUUUUUUUGCGGCAAAUAGAUUUACAAGAGAUUUUAAAAGAGUUUUAAAAGAUUUACAAGAGAUUUUAAAAUCCUUUGAAAAUCUUUGAAAACACUUUUAAACCCUUUAAAAAUCUUUAUAAAUCCUUUGUAAAUCUUUUAAAGCCCUUUAAAAUCCCAUGGAAAUAUUGUAAAACUCUUUUAAAAUCCCUUGUAAAUAUUUUAAAAUCUUUUCAAAACAAUUUUAAACCUUUUAAAAAUCUUUAAAAUACCUUUGUAAAUCUUUUAAAUCCCUAUAAAAUCUCUUGUAAAUCUUUUAAAACCCUUUUAAAAUCCCUUGUAAAUCUUUUUAAAACCUUUUAAAAUCCCUUGUAAAUCACCCUUUUAAAAUCCCUUGUAAAUAUUAUAAAAGCCCUUUAAAAUCCCUUGUAAAUCUAUUUCCCGCAAAAAAAAAA